AUUGAACGCUGGCGGCAGGCCUAACACAUGCAAGUCGAACGAGUGGCGGAAGGGAGAGUAAUGUCUGGGCAACUGCCUGAUGGAGGGGGAUAACUACUGGACACGGUAGCUAAUACCGCCUACCAUCAGCUGUGCCCAGAUGGGAUGGGGUUGUUGGUGGGGCAUCGGCGCACCAAGGCGACGAUCCGUAGCUGGGCUGAGAGGAUGACCAGCCACCCUGGAACUGAGACACGGUCCAGACUCCUACGGGAGGCAGCAGUGGGGAAUAUUGCACAAUGGGCGCAAGCCUGAUGCAGCCAUGCCGCGUGUAUGAAGAAGGCCUUCGGGUUGUAAAGUACUUUCAGCGGGGAGGCGUUACCCGCAGAAGAAGCACCGGCUAACUCCGUGCCAGCAGCCGCGGUAAUAC
rnacentral:rRNA from 1 species